rfam:Triticum urartu cultivar G1812 contig354129, whole genome shotgun sequence.
AUAGUACUCCUUCCGUUUGUAAUUACUUGUCUCAGAAAUUAAUGUAUGUAGAACUAAAAUACGUUUAGAUACAUUCAUUUCUACGACAAGUAAUUGCAAACGGAGGGAGUACACG